UGCUUUGCUCAAUCAGCAAUUUAAUUGACAAUAAUAAACAGUUAAAAUAGCAUAAAUCAACAGCUCACAGACCAAAGUCCAGGACAAGGUUUUUUCGCAAUAGUCUGAAGAGAUAUUUCUCAAGGUUUUUUACCGCUACUUAGGUUAUUGUCAAACUCGUUCUAAUUCUUGGAUUAUGGCACUUCAAGUCGAGCGAAGAUUGGAACGAAUUCAAAGCCAGAAGGGGGUUCUGGGUAGUGCUGUUAUAAACCCAGAGGGGAAAGUCCUGAGAACAAGUAUGGAUACGACAACUACCAAUCAGUAUGCCAACAUGUGCAAAAACCUAGCCUCCAUGGCCCGCGGGACUGUACGGGAUGUGGACCCCGCAGAUGACCUGUUGAUACUUCGUGUAAGAACCAAAGAGCACGAGGUGAUUAUAGCUCCAGAGAGGACUGGAGACGGGACGUUUUUCAUCGUGGUCUUGCAGAGCAUCCGGAAUGUUGCUCCAGAAGGGUCAAUCGCACUUCUGUGAUUCUAGGACUGGGUUUUGUGUUAUCAAACGUAUGUCUAAGCGAUCAAUAUAACUCGUGCCUGGGGCACUGGAACAGAAUAUCACGACGCGUGCUGUUACCAAUAAUCUUUAUAGGAAAUCAUUUUACUUUAGGAACUUAACUGUUCUCAGUUUAAUUAAGGAAGGACCGUGGGAUUUCAAGCAUGCAGCAACUUUGCAAGAGUUGUAGUUGUCGUAGUUGUUUAUUUUCUCGAGUAACCGCCGGCCCUUUAGGCCUUUAGCCAGAAAAAUAUUUUACCGAGGCAAAGCUAGCCACUAGAUGAUAAAUCCAACAAAAGCAGGUGUUUUAUCUCAUACUUUUCAACUGUGAAACACUAAACAUCAAAAUUUUACCGAGGUGAGUGCCUCACUUGCAAAAUGCUGGCUGUAUCACCCAUAAGUGUAAUAACACCCAUAAAUGUUAUAACAACCAUAAAUGUAAUAAACAGUCAACCAUAAAUGUAAGAACACGUCGCCCAUAAAUGUUAUAAACCACGUUAACCAAAAAUGUAAUAACACGUCGCCCAUAAAUGUUAUAACUUACAUUUAUGGUUGACUGUUUAUUACAUUUAUGGGCGAUGUGUUAUUACAUUCAGGGUGUUAUUACAUUUAUGGGUGAUACACUGGCUACGGCCCUAUCCUUGGAGCAUGGUUACUUAGCAUGCUUCUUCCUAACACCACGACGGGACUUUGAGCGUCAUGCCCACCACCACAAGGCCUCGAGACAUGUCUUAUCUUUCUCCUCGUCUAGAGAAACGCCGACUUUUUUCUGAGCGAAUGAGAGAUAAGAGCAAACGCUUGCGCAAAGCAAGACCGCUGACACAGCUGCGGCGCAGAUCAGGAAGGGAAGAAGAAGCACGCAGAUGAGAGUGUAGAUUAGCACCAUGGGUACCAGCCAGCAGAUUCCUGUCAAUCAAAGAGGACCUUGUCAAUCAUAGACCUAACGGCAAUCUAUAUGGUGUUGACAUCAUUAGCUCAUGUUCACUAUUCUGGAAACCACACAAAACUGAGGCAAGCACGAAGAACUGGAAACAUUGAAGUUAUAAAAUUUUUUUUUUUCAUUUUCAUUUUUUUCAUUCCACUUUAGAAGAAAGAACUAUUUGCGCAUUACAUUUUCUUGGACGCCAAGUAAGAGCAGGUGCAACAGAUUGUCUUACCUUUUUCCUAAACUGUUCCACUUGUAAUGAUUUGUUUGCUCCUUUCCAAUAUCUAACUGCACGUUUCACUUGUAA